rnacentral:rRNA from 1 species
UCUAAGUUUGAUGGCGACCGGCGCACGGGUGAGUAACACGUAUCCAACCUGCCGAUGACUCGGGGAUAGCCUUUCGAAAGAAAGAUUAAUACCCGAUGGCAUAGUUCUUCCGCAUGGUGGAACUAUUAAAGAAUUUCGGUCAUCGAUGGGGAUGCGUUCCAUUAGGCAGUUGGCGGGGUAACGGCCCACCAAACCGACGAUGGAUAGGGGUUCUGAGAGGAAGGUCCCCCACAUUGGUACUGAGACACGGACCAAACUCCUACGGGAGGCAGCAUG